AUCCAAAGAAAUUUUUUUAAAUUAUUUAAAAUAUUGAGGUUCUAUUGUCGGUGGAGUUUUACGGUCGCCAUAACGGCGGAUUGUCCCCCCAUCCGCCAGGUGGCGCGAGUGUCUUCGUGAGGAAGAAAUAAUUGCCCAUUUGUUUCCGAGACGCUGACUUGAAAGUGUCUUCCAAGUUGAUUGGUGUCGAUCUACAUUUUUAGCCAUUAAAUGUAAUUGGUAAUCUGGCAUAUAAUUUCACUUGGACAAAUGUGAUGACGUGGGUCGAAACUGCUGUCCAUUUUGUCGAAAUGUCGGCCAUUGUUAGCUGUACGUCUCAUCUCGUGCAGAAACACUUCGGAGCUAGUAUAGUCGGAGAUGGAGAUCCCUUUGCUCAACUGUUGCAGAAAUUUAGAACAUGACAAAGUCCGAGCUUCAUGGCUGUAGCCUGUAGUAUUGGUUUAUCGAGCUGGUGCUAUCCCAAGUGUAACUGCAGGAAAACUUCUUGAAUUGCCAGGUGAAGUCUGCGCUUCUUUGUUGCAGUCUAAUGUGCGCAUGGAUUCGUUGCAGUCAUCCAGUGAAAGGUGUGAAUAAAUUGAGCUGUUGCAUGCAGUCUUUGGUGCUGAUGUUGUCCUGGAGUGUGGGAGAGUCCCAUGCUUCAAGUCUUCUGGGAUCAGCUAUAUCUGAGUUGACGCUGGAUCAUGCUGCAUUGUGGUUGCCGAAAUGUUUGACAUCUAGUAGAACUGCAAGAAGACUCCUUGAAAUGGUUUAUGUUUACGUAGCAGUGAUGUUGCUGUCCAAUAUGCAUGUUGUUGCAGCCUAUACUGGUGAAAGUUUUUUUGCAUCGAGUUAUGCUGUUGCUGUUCCUUGGUGCCGGACUGCUGGUGUUGUGCACAAAAGUUACAUCCAGUUUUAAUUGAUAUUUGCGUCUAUGAAGUUAACCGUUUAUAUGUUGAGAAUGAAAAAAUAGUAAUACGGGGAAUUUUUACGUUGAACAAAUAAUAAACAUGUCUUCGCGAUUGGGAAACCAGCGAGGAGGAGAUUGGAGGAGGGGGGCAAUUGAUUUUCAUUAGCUAGAAGAAGUCGUGGUUUGUUUUAAUAAGGUUGACAUAAAAUCCUUUGUCUAUCACAUCCAUAUACCUACCUAUAUAACCACAUCUAUUCCUCAAACCCCAUAUCUUCCACCAACAUCCAUUCCUUAAGCCCCAUAACUUCCACCAACAUCCAUUCCUUAAACCCCAUAACUUCCACCAACACCCAUUUCUUAAACCCCCAUUUCCCCACAAAUGUCAAAUAUCUAUAAUAUGUAAAUACUAUUGCUGAAUAAAUAAACCAACUAUGUAAUA